GCCUCAACUCAAAUUGUGCCCCGAGGUUAAGCGAUUAUGCCAUGAACACAACAUUGUCAUCUCAUCAGAGAUAGACGGCUUGACACGGUAUAUUCUAUCAGAAAGAGGAACCUUAAAAAGAUACUUUAUCAGCUUCAAUUUGAAGAAGUCCAAAUAACUACUGUUUAUGUGAAAUUUGAUUUACAAUUUUAACUACAAUUUUAACUACAACUACAAAACUACAAUUUUAAUUUUUUCCUUUGAGUUAAAGUAUUUGCAACAGAAAGUUAUUAAUUUUAAAAAUGUUUUACUGAAGAACUGGUGACCCCAAAAUACUGAAUCUACCAUCUAUAGCAAUGACCAACAUAAGAAUAUGGAGCUAUUUAACACUUUGAUAAAGUAUUUGCUCUGCACUUGUGUAAUUACUAUUGUAAUGGAUAUUUUUUUGUCCAUCUAGGAACAACGUGAUGUAAAUAUGAGACGGGCCCUCGUCCUUCGUGCACUUCCUGUGUACCUGCGUAAAGAUGCCUUCAAGUUCUUCAGGACCUGUAAUUCAGCAGAUGGUCCAGACCUCACUGACACUCCGGUGGCUCUCCUGACAGUCGUCACGGAUAACACUAUUGAUGCGGCCCUCUUUAGCCCUGAGAGCAUCUGUUUUGUCGUGGAGGAUGAAAUACUUGUGAGUGGUCCCACAACUCUGGCUGACUCAUUUCUCCUGCUCUUUGUACUAGACCUACAGUACCCAAAGUAUCUCAAGCUUACAUUCACAUUUAUCCAAAAAGUUGUGAUGUGUCUUGAGGACAACAAACCACUGAAAGGGCGUCUACUGACGCUGAAGAAUGAUUUGUUUAAUGAGUGAAUCACUCAGAAUGGAUUAUUUGUUGAGUUGAGUAUUGAGGAAGUUUUAGUUUUUUCCCCCUCUUUACAAAUGUAAUAAUUUGCCUCUUCAACCUCAGAUUUAAGAUCUGACACUGUUUGCCUGUUUCUUUACAUUACAUAUACAUUUAUAGAAUUUAGCAGGACGCUUUUUAUCCAAAGCGACUUACAGUGCAUUCAGGAUAUACAUCUUUAUUUUUACCUACUAUGUGUUCCUCUGGGGGAUNNNNNNNNNNNNNNNNNNNNNNNNNNNNNNNNNNNNNNNNNNNAAGUAAUCUGACACCUGUUUGUCCUCUUCUACCUCAAAUUAAGUAUCUGACACUGUUUGCCUGUUCUACCUCAGAUUUAAGAUCUGACACUGUUUGCCUCUUCUACCUCAGAUUUAAUACAUUGAUUGCCUAUACCUUGAUGCACUAACUUGAUGUUGCCAGUUGAAGUACAACCAGUACUUUAUUUGAAUGUUUAUUAUUGACACAUAUUGAACCUAGUUACUUUAUUUUGUAAUGUUUUUAUUAUUUGACUACAUUAUUGUACUUUAAAAACUAUUUUGUUUUUAUGGGGUCAUUUUCUUUUUGUUUUAAUUUCACAAGCACUUUUUUGACUCCUGCUCCUUUGAUUCAUGCCUUUUAAAAAGCGCAUUGUAUUAAUAAAAAAGUUGUUAAAUUGCCACUGUGGUGUCACUUUCAUGGUUUCUAACAUUAUUAGCUGAUUGUGUAGUGGGCCGACAUCAGUAUUUCAGUUUAGAAUUAAUUUUGAGUGCAUCACCCACAUUAAGAGUUAAAAUUUAUUGAAAAUUUUGAAUGUAUUUCCCAAAUUAUAUGAGUUGGAAAAUAUUGAAAAUUGAGUGUAUUUCCCACAUUAUACACUGUAAAACCCGACAAGUAACUUAACUCAAACCGUUUGAGUAAACAGAUAUCCUUAAAAACCUGACAAGUUAGGUUUACUCAAACCGUUUGAGGAAACCGAUUGCCUUAAACCAUUUAAGUUUUAAAACUAACACACUGUAAAACCUGACAAGUAACGUAACUCAAACCUUUUGUAUAAACAAAUAUCCUUAAAAACAUGACAAGUUGGGUUUACUCAAACCGUUUGAGGAAACCGAUUGCCUUAAACCAUUUAAGUUUUAAAACUUAUAGUUGUGAGUACUACUGAACUUAAUUCAGUUGAGUUCAACUGAAAGAAGAUAUACAUUGCAAUUAAAUAAUUAAGUGAUUAAUUGAGUGAUAAUUGUGAAUUAGUGAUGAACAGCUGCUGUUAACAAACAGAAUUGCUGAGGAAAAGAGAAACACAAGAACUACAACUGACUUCAGACACAGCCUUAGAUAAAAUAAACUGAAAUAAAAUACAUUAAAUCUCUCAAGAUCUGAUUAAACAACCCCACAAACAGAAUCACCAGCUCCACUUAUUAAUAACCAGACUGACUUUAUUUCUGUCAGACGUCUACAGAAGAUCUUAUUGAGAAUGAACUAAGGUUUAGAUGUUGAUUUAUGUUUUCAUUUAAAGUAACCAUGUUAGAGAUCAGUGUUUGCUUUAGUUGGGCUCUUGACCCUUGAUUUCUGUCUUAGUUUUUUCUUUGGCUGUUGUAACCAUUUGUUGUAACUCAAAAGCCCAGAGAAAAUAUCAUCAGGUGUUAAAAACUGAAAUAAAAUACAUUAAAUCUCUCAAGAUCUGAUUAAACAACCCCACAAACAGAAUCACCAGCUCCACUUAUUAAUAACCAGACUGACUUUAUUUCUGUCAGACGUCUACAGAAGAUCUUAUUGAGAAUGAACUAAGGUUUAGAUGUUGAUUUAUGUUUUCAUUUAAAGUAACCAUGUUAGAGAUCAGUGUUUGCUUUAGUUGGGCUCUUGACCCUUGAUUUCUGUCUUAGUUUUUUCUUUGGCUGUUGUAACCAUUUGUUGUAACUCAAAAGCCCAGAGAAAAUAUCAUCAGGUGUUAAACACACACUCACACUCUUAGAAGCUGCUUUUAUCCAAAGCAACUUACAGUGCAUUCAGAUUAACUAUUUUUUUUAAAUCUAACCUGUACCUAGAUGUUGGUUGUUAUACUGUAUAUUGGUGAUGAUAAUCAUUGAUUAUUGAACUGUUUGGAGUAGGUGUUGUGUAAUUAGUUGGAUUGAUUACAGUAAAAAUGAUUCUAAGAGCCAGUGGUUCUAUGAUAAUCAGUUAAUAUAAAGAAUUUUCCAAACAGUUUGGUUUUCUGUGGUGUUACUUGGUCUACACACAGACAUCUGUGACUAAUUGCCGCCAUAGAAGACCAAACUGUUUGGAAAGUCCUUUAUAUUAACUGAUUAUGAAAGAACCACUGACUUUACGAAUGGCUUUCAUUGUAAUCAACUGAACUAACUAUAGAACAUCUAUUUAGUAAGAUUUUGAACUCUGAACAGCUCCAUAAUUGAUGAUUAUCAUCACCAAUAUGGUGUAUAAAAACCAAUACCUAAUCAUAUUUUCUCUGGGUUGUUUGAGUUAUAACAAACAUGUUUCAAAAACACAUGGUUACAACGUCCAAAAAAAAUAAAUAAUCUAAGACAGAAAUCAAGGGUCAAGAGCCCAACUUAAGCAAACACUGAUCUCUAACAUGGUUACUUCAAAUGAAACAAUAAAUCAACAUCUAAAACCUUAGUUAAUGCUCAAUCAGAUUUUUCUGUAGACGUCUGACAGAAAUAAAGUCAGUCUGGUUAUUAAUAAGUGGAGCUGGUGAUGCUGUUUGUUAACAGCAGCUGUUCAUCACUAAAGCUCAAUCAGCACUUAAUUAAUCACUUGAUUACAUAAUUGCUCAGGUUUACAGUGUAUGAGUUAGAAAAUAGUGAAAAAUUUGAGUGUAUUUACCACAUUAUAUGAGUUGAAAAUAGUGAAAAAUUUGAGUGUAUUUCCACAUUAUAUGAGUUGAAAAAUAGUGAAAAAUUUGAGUGUAUUUCCCACAUUAUAUGAGUUGAAAAAUAGUGAAAAAUUUGAGUGUAUUUCCCACAUUAUAUGAGUUGAAAAAUAGUGAAAUUUUUUAGUGAAUUACUCACUAAUUAUAAGUUGAGAAAUAUCAAUAUUUAUAAGAACUUAAGCAAACACUGAUCUCUAACAUGGUUACUUCAAAUGAAACAAUAAAUCAACAUCUAAACCUUAGUUAAUGCUCAAUCAGAUUUUCUGUAGACGUCUGACAGAAAUAAAGUCAGUCUGGUUAUUAAUAAGUGGAGCUGGUGAUGCUGUUUGUUAACAGCAGCUGUUCAUCACUAAAGCUCAAUCAGCACUUAAUUAAUCACUUGAUUACAUAAUUGCAAAGUUUUAAAACUUACAUGGUUUAAGUAAAGACAAUCUGUUUACUCAAACGGUUUGAGUUACUGUGACUUGUCAGGUUUUACAGUGUAUGAGUUGAAAAAUAGUGAAAAAUUUGAGUGUAUUUCCCACAUUAUAUGAGUUGAAAAAUAGUGAAAAUUUUGA
rnacentral:lncRNA from 1 species